GCGUGCCUAAUACAUGCAAGUCGAACGAAUCUUCUUCGGAGAUGAGUGGCGAACGGGUGAGUAAUACUUAGGUAACCUGCCCCUGUGCGGGGGAUAACAGGAGGAAACUCCUGCUAAUACCGCAUAGCCAUGAGCACCGCAUGGAGCUCAUGCCAAAUAUCCUUCAGGGGAUAGCGCAGGGAUGGACCUAUGGCGCAUUAGCUAGUUGGCGGGGCAACGGCCCACCAAGGCAACGAUGCGUAGCCGGCCUGAGAGGGCGGACGGCCACAUUGGGACUGAGACACGGCCCAGACUCCUACAGGAGGCAGCAGUAGGGAAUUUUCGGCAAUGGGGGAAACCCUGACCGAGCAACGCCGCGUGAGCGAAGAAGGCCUUCGGGUCGUAAAGCUCUGUUGUAAAGGAAGAACGUCGCAUGCAGGAAAUGGUGUGCGAGUGACGGUACUUUACCAGAAAGCCACGGCUAACUACGUGCCAGCAGCCGCGGUAAUACGUAGGUGGCGAGCGUUAUCCGGAAUCAUUGGGCGUAAAGAGGGAGCAGGCGGCCGCAAGGGUCUGUGGUGAAAGACCGAAGCUAAACUUCGGUAAGCCAUGGAAACCGGGCGGCUAGAGUGCGGAAGAGGAUUGUGGAAUUCCAUGUGUAGCGGUGAAAUGCGUAGAUAUAUGGAGGAACACCAGUGGCGAAGGGGGGCGGUCUGGGCCGCAACUGACGCUCAUUUCCCGAGAGCGAGGGGAGCAAAUAGGAUUAGAUACCCUAGUAGUCCACGCCGUAAUCGAUGGUCACUAAGUGUCGGGGGUCAGACCCCGGUGCUGCAGUCAACGCAAUAAGUGAGCCGCGUGAGUAGUACGUUCGCAAGAAUGAAACUCAAAGGAAUUGACGGGGGCCCGCACAAGCGGUGGAGCAUGUGGUUUAAUUUGAAGCAACGCGAAGAACCUUAGCAGGUCUUGACAUCGAUCUAAAAGGGAUGGAGACAUCCUCAUAGCUAUAGAGAAGACAGGUGGUGCAUGGUUGUCGUCAGCUCGUGUCGUGAGAUGUUGGGUUAAGUCCCGCAACGAGCGCAACCCCUGUCGCCAGUUACCAUCAUUGAGUUGGGGACUCUGGCGAGACUGCCUCUGCAAG
rnacentral:rRNA from 1 species